GAUGAACGCUGGCGGCGUGCCUAAUACAUACAAGUCGAACGCUUCACUUCGGUGAAGAGUGGCGAACGGGUGAGUAAUACAUAAGUAACCUGGCAUCUACAGGGGGAUAACUGAUGGAAACGUCAGCUAAGACCGCAUAGGUGUAGAGAUCGCAUGAACUCUAUAUGAAAAGUGCUACGGGACUGGUAGAUGAUGGACUUAUGGCGCAUUGGCUGGUUGGUAGGGUAACGGCCUACCAAGGCGACGAUGCGUAGCCGACCUGAGAGGGUGACCGGCCACACUGGGACUGAGACACGGCCCAGACUCCUACGGGAGGCAGCAGUAGGGAAUUUUCGGCAAUGGGGGAAACCCUGACCGAGCAACGCCGCGUGAAGGAAGAAGUAAUUCGUUAUGUAAACUUCUGUCAUAGAGGAAGAACGGUGGAUAUAGGGAAUGAUAUCCAAGUGACGGUACUCUAUAAGAAAGCCACGGCUA
rnacentral:rRNA from 1 species